GUCGUGUUGCCAUCGAAUAAAAGUACGAAGGCGACAAGAUGGAACUACGACGGCAAUGAAUUCAGCUAAAUGUAAGUUAAUUUUCGCACUAAAAUACAUUUAAAGUGCCAUGCGCGAUAUGCACUGGUCAGUCUAAUACGACAGUUAAGAAAGACGUUCACAAAACAUGGAGCUCAUAUCAUAUGAUUCUAUGAGAACAAGAAAGGCGACAGCGUUGUUUCUAUUUAUUCAAAUGGAACAAGAAGAGCAGCUAUUACAGGCUCAGGAUUUACUUUUACAAGUAAAAUAUUAUUUUUUGUCAAUUUUUCAUAUCAAGUAACAUAAUGAAAAUCAUAAACGCGCCUCGUACACCAACACUACAGGUACACGUAUAUAGGGAAACCAACUUUUUC
rnacentral:lncRNA from 1 species